rnacentral:lncRNA from 1 species
UUCAUUAUUUCUAACCAUUGGAUUAAAUACUAUAACCCAGUGGGAACCACUCAACCCUAGGAGGACCACUCAACUCUAACCGACUAAUAUCAUCCUGACCCUACAAUUUUUCAUCCAAGGGUUAAAAACUUGAUAGCAAAAUGAGCGUUUUACUAUUAAUAGUAUUCCAGCCUAUAUAUAUAUAUGAGUUGAGCGAGAAUACUCUCAAAAGCACCAUGAAGGUGGUGCUUCUGAGUUUUUAGCCAUUAGAUGGAGAUAUGUAAGGUUAAGAUGAUGGUAGUAGGUGGUGGCAGGUAGUGAUAGGUAGAAUAGUGUUUGAUCCAAGGACUAUUAGUAAUCAUAGAUGCCAAUUUUGCCCAUAAUAUCAAUUU